AUUGAACGCUGGCGGCAUGCCUAACACAUGCGAGUCGAGCGGAUGAGCGGGGCUUGCUCCUGGAUUCAGCGGCGGACGGGUGAGUAAUGCCUAGGAAUCUGCCUGGUAGUGGGGGAUAACGUCCGGAAAGGGGGGCUAAUACCGCAUACGUCCUGAGGGUGAAAGUGGGGGAUCUUCGGACCUCACGCUAUCAGAGGAGCCGAGGUCGGAUUAGCUAGUUGGUGGGGUAAAGGCCUACCAAGGCGACGAUCCGUAACUGGUCUGAGAGGAUGACCAGUCACACUGGAACUGAGACACGGUCCAGACUCCUACGGGAGGCAGCAGUGGGGAAUAUUGGACAAUGGGCGCAAGCCUGAUCCAGCCAUGCCGCGUGCGUGAAGAAGGUCUUCGGAUUGUAAAGCACUUUAAGUUGGGAGGAAGGGCAGUAAGCUAAUACCUCGCUGUUUUGACGUUACCAAAAGAAUAAGCACCGGCUAACUUCGUG
rnacentral:rRNA from 1 species